rnacentral:lncRNA from 1 species
AAGAUGACACCUGUCAAAUCUGCUGGGACCCUACCAKCAAGGAUAAUGUAAAUGAUCAACACAAUUUUAAUGACAUGCCCCUUUGUGACACAUGCCUCCGUACAUAUCACUGGACGUGCCUGCUUCGUCACAACCUCUGCACGAUAUCCCAGCGCAUCCAGGCUGAAACAAGCCCCAAGUGGGACUGCCCCUCAUGUGCGGUCCUAAUAAAUGCCCAAAAAGCAGAAAGAAA